rnacentral:rRNA from 1 species
UACAGAGGUCCCAAGCGUUGUUCGGAUUUAUUGGGCGUAAAGGGUGCGUAGGCGGCGGAGUAAGUUGGGUGUGAAAUCCCGGGGCUCAACCUCGGAAUGGCAUUCAAUACUGCUUCGCUCGAGUACUGGAGAGGAGGCUGGAAUUUACGGUGUAGCAGUGAAAUGCGUAGAUAUCGUAAGGAAGGCCGGUGGCGAAAGCGAGCCUCUGGACAGUUACUGACGCUGAUGCACGAAGGCCAGGGGAGCAAACGGG